UCUGGGCGGCCCUAGGCUCCAAUAAUGGAGGAAGACCUCAAUGAUAACACCCAGACAAUAAGUGUCCCCAGAAGGGGAUGCUGGUAUACCCACCUGUGGCAUUCAUGUCUGGGUCUUAGAUGCAUGCAUCCUCAGAAAAAGAGGAAAUUUCCCCUCUACUUGAUUGGCUAUGACCCAACGGGCCCAUUAUAACUAGAGGCCAGUGUGGGUGACCUAGAUAUAUUAAUCCACUCCAGUCAACAUCAUGUGGAUGAGUCUGAUAGAAAGAACAGGACUUCGCUGCAUUAUGCAUUUGCCCACAACCAUCCAGACGUGGUGACACUAUUAUUAGAAAAUAAUUCCAGCAUUAACAUCCGGGAUGAUGAAGGCUGUACACCCUUGAUUAAGGCCACCCAACGAGACAAUGUGGAUUGUGUUUCUGUAUUGCUCACCCACAAUGCGGAUCCAAAUCUGAUAGAUUCCAGUGGGAACACAGCCUUACACCAUGCUAUAUCCAGGGGUAACAUAAGGAUUGUAAAAAUGCUCCUUGAGCACAACGUAGACAUUGAAGCCAAAACAGAGUAUGGCUUGACACUGUUGCAACUUGCAACAUUUGAACAGAAACCUGAAAUGGUAGAAUUUUUAGCAGCAAAGUGUGCAAACAGAUGGAGCUUUCAAAAUGGAUAUCACUGGAUCAUCAGCUCAGAGAACUGAAGUGAAGCAUGUCAGGUUUAACGAAGAAGUCUUAUAUUUUGAAGAGGAAAGGCCUUUGUCCUGGUAAGGUUUAACAAUUCCUUAAUAGUAGGUAAAUUCAAAGAUAAGAAGCAAAUUCUUGUUGUGAGUACUUUGAGACCUGUGUCUUACAAGUCCCACAAUAUUAUGAAUAUAUUUUUUAGCUUGGAAACUUGCUCAGUUUAGUUCAUAGGAACAUGAACACUGUAUUCACCCACCAUUUCCAAGAACCAACUCUGCAGUUUGGAAAAAGAGCCUGCUGGGAUUAGCUAUGCACAUGGAUGUCCAUUUAAGAUUCAUUGGCUUUUCAAAGCCUUACUGAAUUCAAUUUGUGAACUAAGACCCACACUAGUAGCUAUCAUUUCAGACAUUUCUCUUGUCUGAGAGUUUACAUAAUUCUGGAUGCUUCUCAGUUGUCAGUCAUCACUACAGGAUGCCAACAAAUUUCUUUCUACUUCUAACAGAACUUUACAUGCACAGGACCUUUUUUGUCAGGGGUAGCAUCUUUCAUAGCUGUUGGAAGACACCCAUGUCUUCCAGAAUGCUCCAUCCAUCAAUGAUCUGUUCACGUGAUCUGUUUUCCACAGUAAUGAAUCCUUUAACUCUCAGUACAUUAUCUGAAUGGCAGUGUAACUAAUAGUUAUCUUUCUACAAAGGGGGCUUUUGUUUUCUACAUCAGUUGGAUAUGACCAUAGAGGUGAAGGCCCAUCCACUCCUGUCCAGGAUGCUAGGUUAGACACUAGCUUGAUAGAAAACUAAAAGUUGUAUUUCGAGCUAAUUCUGUGCACAUUAGGAUUCAUUACUUUCACAAGAGAGGACAACUAUAUUGUCCUCUUUAUUUGUGCUAUGUAUCAACAAAACAUUUUCUAAACAUUAUUAAAUAGCUUACUGAAUCCAAAGGUAAUGUGGAAAGUGAAGAUUGAAAAAUUUUCAGGACUUAAAGCUCUUCAGAGACUCCUUGAAAAAU